GGGUCAUAGAGCAGAGCGGCCCUGGGCGGGCUAGAGGGGCCGAGGGUGAACCAUAGAGCGCGGCGUCCGCCGCGGAGCAGAGCGGCUACACACCAUAGAGCGGGGCUGUGAGGGCUAGAGGGGCCGCCUCGGAUCACGGAGCUCAGCCCCCCGGCGGGUGGAGAGGCCCGAGCUCUCCGCUGGCCGCGUGGGAUCCGAGCGGGCGGCGGGGAGAGGUUGGUUUGCGGGGCGGAGCCCCCCACGGCCCCGCUGCGUCUCGCGGGGAUCGCAGACAGCGCGAGACCCUGCGCGUGCGCUGGGGAACCCUGAGGGAGAGCGCUGCCCCGCGGCGUUGCCAUGGGAACGGGGAGGCGCUCAGGAUGCUCAGCGAGGCCGAAAGCUGCCCUGGACCCACAGGCUGCCCCAGCCUGCCAUGUCAGGGAGUCUUCUAGCUGCUGCUCGGGGGCUGGGGCACUCUGCUUUCUGCUGAUCCCAUGCUGCAAUGUAACGUCCAGCUGCAGUCAUGCAACAGAGAGGCCACGUCAGUGCAUGCAAGAAACGCGCAGCGCCACUACUACAAGCUGUCCAAGGAGAGAGUGAGAGCAGUCAAGGCUCUGGCAGGAUCCAGCGCACCCCCCUGGUCAGCAGCAUCUAGCCCCACACCUCAGACCUGGGCUAAGAGCACUGAGACGCCCGCAGGGACUGGCACCCCCACCGUGGGGGCCACAGCACCAGAUGAGCCCAGCUGUGGCAGUGGGCAGCCCUGCCCCCCUUGGAGCACCUGCGUGUCCUGGGCUGGGCACUUCUCCUGCCGCUGCGUCCUGGGCUUCUAUCUCAGCCGGACCAUGGGCUGUGUGCCAGGACGUUCCCAGGGCGCCUCUCCCUGCGGGCCACCGGCCCAGCACCCCCAAGCCCGCUGCCACCUGCCGACCUGCGCAGGGUCGUCACCCAGCUGGAGAGCCUGUUCCAGCCUAUCCUGGGGCAAUUGGACGCUUAUCUGUCCUCCUCUGUCCUGGACCUGCAGCCGCACAGCCAGGCAGUGACUGUCCUGCACAGCUUCUCGGCGCUCUCGUCCGUCACGGCCCGGCAGGUGGACGGGGCCAUCGCGGGGUUCUGGGAGCGGUGCCAGGCCAGUGACCCAGCCUGCAGCUUCCUGCGGGACACCGUCUCCUACCAGAGUGAG
rnacentral:lncRNA from 1 species